CAGAACCGCACCGACUUUGCCCUCGCUGCCUAAUCUAGCGAGCAAGUCCGUCAGCCCAAGCAAUGCUCUGAGUUUGGUUCCUGGCGUCGUUUUAUGAGCCACUGGGUUGCCAUCGCGUUGGGAGGCGGUAACCGACACUUUCUCAACUGAGCCACCUAGUUGCAGGUUUGCAUGUUGCUAGUGGCUGAGAAACUUAUUGCAAACUGCGCCCGGAGAAGAAAUUGGGGUGGGUCGUUGGACCCGGGUUCAAUUCCCGGCAUCUCCACUA
rnacentral:tmRNA from 1 species